rnacentral:rRNA from 1 species
CCUACGGGAGGCAGCAGUGGGGAAUAUUGGGCAAUGGGCGCAAGCCUGAACCAGCAACGCCGCGUGAAGGAAGAAGGCUUUAGGGUUGUAAACUUCUUUUCUCAGGGAAGAAGCAAGUGACAGUACCUGAGGAAUGAGCCACGGCUAACUACGUGCCAGCAGCCGCGGUAAUACGUAGGUGGCAAGCGUUAUCCGGAUUUACUGGGUGUAAAGGGCGUGUAGGCGGGACUGUAAGUCAGAUGUGAAAACCACGGGCUCAACCUGUGGCCUGCAGUUGAAACUGUAGUUCUUGAGUACUGGAGAGGCAGACGGAAUUCGUAGUGUAGCGGUGAAAUGCUUAGAUAUUAGGAGGAACACCAGUGGCGAAGGCGGUCUGCUGGACAGCAACUGACGCUGAGGCUCGAAAGCGUGGGUAUCAAACAGGAUUAGAUACCCGGGUAGUC